rnacentral:rRNA from 1 species
GACGAACGCUGGCGGCGUGCUUAACACAUGCAAGUCGAACGGAAAGGCCCUGCUUUUGUGGGGUGCUCGAGUGGCGAACGGGUGAGUAACACGUGAGUAACCUGCCCUUGACUUUGGGAUAACUUCAGGAAACUGGGGCUAAUACCGGAUAGGAGCUCCUGCUGCAUGGUGGGGGUUGGAAAGUUUCGGCGGUUGGGGAUGGACUCGCGGCUUAUCAGCUUGUUGGUGGGGUAGUGGCUUACCAAGGCUUUGACGGGUAGCCGGCCUGAGAGGGUGACCGGCCACAUUGGGACUGAGAGACGGCCCCGACUCCUACGGGAGGCAGAAGUGGGGAAUAUUGCACAAUGGGCGGACGACUGAUGCAGCAACGCCGCGUGCGGGAUGACGGCCUUCGGGUUGUAAACCGCUUUCGCCUGUGACGAAGCGUGAGUGACGGUAAUGGGUAAAGAAGCACCGGCUAACUACGUG